rnacentral:tRNA from 1 species
UGGCUCAGACAGUAAAGCGUCUGCCUACAAUGCAGGAGACCCGGGUUCAAUCCCUGG